AUUGAACGCUGGCGGCAUGCUUUACACAUGCAAGUCGAACGGCAGCGCGGGCGUCUGCCUGGCGGCGAUUGUCGAACGGGUGAGUAAUACAUCGGAACGUGCCCAGUAUUGGGGGAUAGCUCGGCGAAAGCCUGAUUGAUACCACAUACGACCUGAGGGUGAAAGCGGGGGGUCUUCGGACCUCUCGCUAUUGGAGCGGCCGAUGGCAGAUUAGCUAGUUGGUGGGGUAAAGGCCUACCAAGGCGACGAUCUGUAGCUGGUGUGAGAGGACGACAAGCCACACUGGGAGUGAAACACGGACCCGGCUCCUACGGGAGGGAGCAGUGGGGAAUUUUGGACAAUGGGCGAAAGUCUGAUACAGCAAUGCCGAGUGUGUGAUGAAGGCCCUCGGGUUGUAAAGCCGUUUUGGCGGGAACGAAAAGGACUGUGCCAAUAACACGGUUAGAUGACGGUACCCGCAGAAUAAGCACCGGCUAACUACGUG
rnacentral:rRNA from 1 species